rnacentral:rRNA from 1 species
UUCCCCUUCGGGGGGACAGGGUGACAGGUGGUGCAUGGUUGUCGUCAGCUCGUGUCGUGAGGAUGUUGGGUUAAGUCCCGCAACGAGCGCAACCCUCGCCUCUAGUUGCCAGCAUUCGGUUGGGCACUCUAGAGGGACUGCCGGCGACAAGUCGGAGGAAGGUGGGGAUGACGUCAAAUCAUCAUGCCCCUUAUGACCUGGGCUACACACGUGCUACAAUGGGCGGUACAAAGGGCUGCGAACCCGCGAGGGGGAGCGAAUCCCAAAAAGCCGCUCUCAGUUCGGAUUGCAGGCUGCAACUCGCCUGCAUGAAGCCGGAAUCGCUAGUAAUCGCGGAUCAGCAUGCCGCGGUGAAUACGUUCCCGGGCCUU